CCUACGGGAGGCAGCAGUGAGGAAUAUUGGUCAAUGGGCUUACGCCUGAACCAGCCAAGUCGCGUGAGGGAAGACUGCCCUAUGGGUUGUAAACCUCUUUUGUCAGGGAGCAAUUGGCGCUACGUGUAGCGUUAUCGAGAGUACCUGAAGAAAAAGCAUCGGCUAACUCCGUGCCAGCAGCCGCGGUAAUACGGGGGAUGCGAGCGUUAUCCGGAUUUAUGGGGUUUAAAGGUUGCGUAGGCGGAAUGCCAAGUCAGCGGUAAAAUCGCGGGGCUAAACCUCGCACCGCAGUUGAAACUGGCGAUCUUGAGUGCGCGAGAAGUAGGCGGAAUGCGUGGUGUAGCGGUGAAAUGCAUAGAUAUCACGCAGAACUCCGAUGGCGAAGGCAGCAUGCCGGCGCCCAACUGACGCUGAGGCACGAAAGCGUGGGUAUCGAACAGGAUUAGAUACCCCAGUAGUC
rnacentral:rRNA from 1 species